rnacentral:rRNA from 1 species
AGUUCGAUUCUGGCUCAGAUUGAACGCUGGCGGGAUGCUUUACACAUGCAAGUCGAACGGCAGCACGGACUUCGGUCUGGUGGCGAGUGGCGAACGGGUAGGUAAUGUAUCGGAACGUGCCUAGUAGCGGGGGAUAACUACGCAGAAAGCGUAGCUAAUACCGCAUACGCCCUUCGAGGAAAGCGGGGGGACCUUCGGGCCUCGCACUAUUAAACGGCCGAUAUCGGAUUAGCUAGUUGGUGGGGUAACGGCUCGCAAGGCGACGAUCCGUAGCUGAGUUUGAGAGGACGACCAGCCACACUGGGACUGAGACACGGCCCAGACUCCUACGGAGGGCAGUGGGAAUUUUGGACCAAUGGGGGAAACCCUGAUCCAGCCAUCCCGCGUGUGCGAUGAAGGCCUUCGGGUUGUAAAGCACUUUUUGGCAGGAAAACGGCACGGGAUAAUACCCCGUGCAACUGACCUGCCUGCAGAGCCAGCACCGGCUAACUACGUGCCAGCAGCCGCGGUAAUGUACGUAGGGUGCAAGCGUUAAUCGGAAUUACUGGGCGUAAAGCGUGCGCAGGCGGUUCGGAAGAAAGAUGUAAUCCCGAGACGCUUUGGAACUGCAUUUUUAACUACCGAGCUAGGGGAAGAGUGUGUCAGAGGAGGUGGAAUUCCGCGUGUAGCAGUGAAAUGCGUAGAUAUGCGGAGGAGGAGGAACACCGAUGGCGAAGGCAGCCUCCUGGGAUACUGACGCUCAUGCACGAAAGCGUGGGAGCAAACAGGAUUAGAUACCCUGGUAGUCCACGCCUAAACGAUGUCAACUAGCUGUUGGGGCCUUCAGGCCUUGGUAGCCGCAAUAACGCGUGAAGUUGACCGCCUGGGAAGUACGGUCGCAAGAUUAAGAAACUCAAAGAAUUGACGGGGACCGCACAAGCGGUGGAUGAUGUGGAUUAAUUCGAUGCAACGCGAAAAACCUUACCUACCCUUGACAUGUCUGGAAUCCCGAAGAGAUUUGGGAGUGCUCACCGAAGAGAACCGGGACACAGGUGCUGCAUGGUUGUCGUCAGCUCGUGUCGCAUUGAGAUGUUCAGGUUAGAAUCCCGCAACGAGCGCAACCCUUGUCGUGGAUUGCUACGAAGAACGCUCUAAUGAGACUGCCGGUGACAAACCGGAGGGAGGAAGGUGGGGAUCAAGUCCUCAUGGCCCUUAUGGGUAGGGCUUCACACGUCAUACAAUGGUCGGGACAGGAAGGUCGCCAACCCGCGAGGCAAUCAGAAACCCGAUCGUAGUCGGAUCGCAGUCUGCAACUCGACUGCGUGAAGUCGGAGAUCAUAGUAAUCGCGGAUCAGCAUGUCGCGGCGAAUACGUUCAGGUCUUAUACACACGCCCCGUCACACCAUGGGAGUGGGUUUUGCAAAGUAGUUAGCCUAACCCGUAAGGAGGGCGAUUACCACGGUAGGAUUCAUGACUGGGGUGAAGUCGUAACAAGGUAG